CUUGCGUGGGGGAACCUGACCGCCUGCCGCGUGAGUGAUGAAGGCCUUCGGGUUGUAAAGCUCUUUUGUGUGGGAAGAUAAUGACUGUACCACAAGAAUAAGCCCCGGCUAACUUCGUGCCAGCAGCCGCGGUAAUACGAAGGGGGCUAGCGUUGUUCGGAAUUACUGGGCGUAAAGGGUGCGUAGGUGGUUAUGUAAGUCAGAAGUGAAAGCCCUGGGCUCAACCCGGGAAUUGCUUUUGAAACUAUGUAGCUAGAGUUCGAGAGAGGUAAGUGGAAUAUCCAGUGUAGAGGUAAAAUUCGUAGAUAUUGGAUGGAACACCAGUGGCGAAGGCGGCUUACUGGCUCGAUACUGACACUGAGGCACGAAA
rnacentral:rRNA from 1 species